AAAUGAAUAGACGGGGGCUCACACAAGCGGUGGAGCAUGUGGCUUAAUUCGAAGCAACGCGAAGAACCUUACCUAAGCUUGACAUGCACGGAUCAACUCCAGGAAACUGGAGCCACAGCCGCAAGGCCGGAACGUGCACAGGUGCUGCAUGGCUGUCGUCAGCUCGUGCUGUGAAGUGUCGGGUUAAGUCCCUCAACGAGCGCAACCCCUGUCGCUACUUGCUAACGCGUAAUGGCGAGGACUGUAGCGAGACUGCCGGUGUCAAACCGGAGGAAGGUGGGGAUGACGUCAAGUCCUCAUGGCCUUUAUGCUUAGGGCUGCACACGUGCUACAAUGGUAUGUACAGAACGAUGCAAGACCGCAAGGUGGAGCAAAUCGCCAAAACAUACCCCAGUUCAGAUUGAGGGCUGCAAUUCGCCCUCAUGAAGUCGGAAUCGCUAGUAAUCGCGGAUCAGCUACGCCGCGGUGAAUAUGUUCCUGAGCCUUGCACACACCGCCCGU
rnacentral:rRNA from 1 species